AAGGGGAAAUUAAAAAAAAAAAAAAAAAAAAAAAGGAAGGAGAGAGAGAGGGAGAGAGAGAGAAAGGGAAAAUAAAAGGAGACAUAUAGUGUAUACAUAUAGUGUAAAGGGACUGGUCAGACGUUUUAGUCAAAAUUCCUGUGAGUAGUGAAGGGUCCAGGGACAGUCACCUCCUGGUGCUGUCCCACACCCCUCAUUCCCUAUAGGAGCCGUUUGCUUCUUGCAGGCUGAUGUUACCUUCAUAUGCAGGGUUCAGUAAGGCCUCACCUUACACAGGGCAGAACCACCUGGCAGUUUCUUUUAGCCAGCAGAGGUUAGCAAUCAUCCAUUUUGGUGACGUGUCACCAUCCGUUGCUUAAAGUCCCCAAGCCCACAGUGGCAUUUUGGCCAUGCACCAAGCUGCGCAGCUCCAAAUUCGUGUUUCCUGGAGACACUGCACUCACCAGAAUCAUCCCCAGUGGGUCUGCCUGUACUGAAAGAAGAGACAAGAGGGAGGAGGGACAGGAGCCAGAUUUUCUGAGAGAACCUGUGGACCUAUGGGGGAUUCAUGAUGAAGCAGUCUGAUUCUGAAAGACCCAUGAAAAAGAGUCAUGUUGGAAUAGCCCACGAAAAGUACCCACAAUGGAGAAGCUCAUGGAGAACUGUUUGCUGUGAGAGGGACUUCACAAUGACGCAGCACACCAAAACUGCUCGACGCUGACCACAAACUCUAUUUCUCAUCCUCUUGUGUUUUUCAGGGUGGAGGAGGUAGAAAAUUCAGGAAUGAAGGAGUGAAGCAGCAAAGGAGCAAAGUUGAACCUAUGGUGUGAACCUGAGAGUGCUCAGCAUAUGUUUCUAGUCUUAGAUUAGCCAAGUCAUCAAUUUGAAACAGGAACAGACCAAAUAAACAUGACAAAGUAGAAAUAAAA